GACGAACGCUGGCGGCGUGCUUAACACAUGCAAGUCGAACGGUGACCCUCGGAGCUUGCUUCGGGGUGAACAGUGGCGAACGGGUGAGUAACACGUGAGUAACCUGCCCCUAACUCUGGAAUAAGCGCCGGAAACGGCGUCUAAUACCGGAUACGACACGCCUCCGCAUGGGGAGCGUGUGGAAAGUUUUUCGGUCUGGGAUGGACUCGCGGCCUAUCAGCUUGUUGGGGAGGUAAUGGCUCACCAAGGCGAUGACGGGUAGGCGGCCUGAGAGGGCGACCGGCCACACUGGGACUGAGACACGGCCCAGACUCCUACGGGAGGCAGCAGUGGGGAAUAUUGCACAAUGGGCGAAAGCCUGAUGCAGCGACGCCGCGUGAGGGAUGACGGCCUUCGGGUUGUAAACCUCUUUCAGCAGGGAAGAAGCGAAAGUGACGGUACCUGCAGAAGAAGCACCGGCUAACUACGUGCCAGCUGCCGCAGUAAGAC
rnacentral:rRNA from 1 species